rnacentral:rRNA from 1 species
AAUAUUGGACAAUGGGGGCAACCCUGUUCCAGCCAUGCCGCGUGUGUGAAGAAGGUGUACUGAUUGUAAAGCACCUUAAGGUGGGAGGAAGGGCUUUAGGUUAAUACCCUGAAGUUUUCACGUUACCGACUGAAUAAGCACCGGCUAACUCUGUGCCAGCAGCCGCGGUAAUACAGAGGGUGCAAGCGUUAAUCGGUAUUACUGGGCGUAAAGCGCGCGUAGGUGGUUCAGUAAGAUGGAUGUGAAAUCCCCGGGCUUAACCUGGGAACUGCUUUCAUAACUGCUGAGCUAGAGUACGGUAGAGGGUAGUGGAAUUUCCUGUGUAGCGGUGAAAUGCGUAGAUAUAGGAAGGAACACCAGUGGCGAAGGCGACUACCUGGACUGAUACUGACACUGAGGUGCGAAAGCGUGGGGAGCAAAC